AUGUUGGGUCACGGGAAGGAACGAAGUCGCGGGGCUCCGUGUUUCAUUGUCAGAGUGUGAAAUUCUUGGAUUUUUGAUCGACGAACUACUGCGAAAGCAUUUGCCAAGGAUGUUUUCAUUAAUCAAGAACGAAAGUUGGGGGCUCGAAGACGAUUAGAUACCGUCGUAGUCUCAACCAUAAACGAUGCCGACUAGGGAUUGGCGAAUGUUUUUUUAAUGACUUCGCCAGCACCUUAUGAGAAAUCAAAGUUUUUGGGUUCCGGGGGGAGUAUGGUCGCAAGGCUGAAACUUAAAGGAAUUGACGGAAGGGCACCACCAGGCGUUAACAAAGCUGAAAGCUCUAGCGCCAGUGAGGGGGAAACCUCUUGCUAGUCAACACAAUUCGAUUGUGUUGGCAACACCUUCAAAUUGCUGGAAAAUUCUAAAGCCAUUGCAUACCAAGGUGUGAAGGAAACUUCAUGCUGGCCAGGGUAAUGACCUCGGGUAUGGUGACAACUGCAAUGGAUGACGAGAUUUUCAGUCUCUGAAAUGGACAACCAGCAGCCAAGUCCUAAACAUGAUGUAAUAUCAUGCAUGGAUGCAGUUCACAGACUAAAUGGAGGUGGGCUGUCGAAUAAAUACCGACGGCUUAAGAUAUAGUCGGCCCUUAUCGAAAGAUAACCAGUAAGAGGAAACCAUGUUUAUAGUGGUGGAGAGCUUACUGGGCAUCAGGUAGUACUUGGCAGUGUGAGCUGUCAAGGGCUCCACCAUGGUGGAGCCUCUGAUGCGGAACUAGCGGGAGCCUGCGGCUUAAUUUGACUCAACACGGGAAAACUUACCAGGUCCAGACAUAGUGAGGAUUGACAGAUUGAGAGCUCUUUCUGAUUCUAUGGGUGGUGUGCAUGGCCGUUCUAGUGGUGGGUGCUGUAGGGUGUAAUCUACA
rnacentral:rRNA from 1 species